rnacentral:rRNA from 1 species
AGUGUCGUUGGCGCGCAAUCCAGAAGGUAAGUGACUUCACGUUCCAUCUAAAUUCUGAGUCGGCAAGGACGACAUACGAAUCAGUUACGAGUAGAGAACGCCCCUACUCCAAGAAGGAGAGCCAUCCUCGUCAGUUAUGAUAUGGAAGAAGCGGUAGGUUGUUGGUCGCUCCACGAGACAAUGCCACCUCAAUCUUUAGUGCGGGUAAAUUUUCCAUGAGAAGGGGUGCGAUCCAAAUCUACCUCGGGGCACAUAACGACAGUCAAAUAAGAGGUGGCAUACGAUUCUGACACGUAUCCCCCCUUUUAACUGCGAGUGAAGCGGGAAGAGCUCAAAUUUAAAAUCUGGCGGCUUUCAGUCGUCCGAGUUGUAAUCUGGAGAGGCAUUUUCCGCGUUGGACCGUGUACAAGUCUCCUGGAACGGAGCGUCAUAGAGGGUGAGAAUCCCGUCCAUGACACGGACCGCCAGUGCUCUGUGAUAUGCCUUCGAAGAGUCGCGUUGUUUGGGAAUGCAGCGCAAAAUGGGUGGUAAAUUCCAUCUAAAGCUAAAUAUUGGCGAGAGACCGAUAGCGAACAAGUACCGUGAGGGAAAGAUGAAAAGCACUUUGAAAAGAGAGUUAAACAGUACGUGAAAUUGUUGAAAGGGAAACGCUUGAAGUCAGUCGCGUUCCGUGGAACUCAGCCUUACUUCGGUUUGGUGUACUUUCCAUGUGAACGGGUCAACGUCAAUUUCGGCCGGUGGACAAAGGCAAGGGGAAUGUAGCGUCGCUUCGGUGACGUGUUAUAGCCUCUUGUUGUAUACACCGGCUGGGAUUGAGGACCGCAGCACGCCCUUUGUGGCCGGGAGGUUCGCCUCCACGUACUGUGCUUAGGAUGUUGGCAUAAUGGCUUUAAGCGACCCGUCUUGAAACACGGACCAAGGAGUCUAACAUGCUUGCGAGUGUUCGGGUGGAAAACCCUUGCGCGCAAUGAAAGUGAAAGUUAGGAGCCCUUCUCUCUGUGGAGGGGUGCACUGACGCCCGGCCCUGAAGUUCUCUGACGGUGCUGCGGUAGAGCAAGUACGUUGGGACCCGAAAGAUGGUGAACUAUGCCUGAAUAGGGCGAAGCCAGAGGAAACUCUGGUGGAGGCUCGUAGCGAUUCUGACGUGCAAAUCGAUCGUCAAAUUUGGGUAUAGGGGCGAAAGACUAAUCGAACCAUCUAGUAGCUGGUUCCUGCCGAAGUUUCCCUCAGGAUAGCAGAGACUCGUAUCAGAUUUAUGUGGUAAAGCGAAUGAUUAGAGGCCUUGGGGUUGAAACAACCUUAACCUAUUCUCAACUUUAAAUAUGUAAGAACGGGCCGUCUCUUGGUUGGACCGCUCGACGAUUGAAAGUCUCUAGUGGGCCAUUUUUGGUAAGCAAACUGGCCAUGCGGAUGAACCGACGCAAGGUUAAGUGCCGAAUGCAGCUCAUCAAACCCCAAAAGGGUUAUUCAUCUAAACGCAGGACGUGGCCAGGAAUCGGAUCCGCUAAGAAUUGUAACACUCACUGCCGAUGACUACCCUGAAAAGGAGGGCCCAGCGGUACCCAACUCCCCUCCCCUUAAUGACCCGGAAAAAAGCCGCUGGAG